UACGGAAGGGCAAGCGUUGUUCGGAAUCAUUGGGCGUAAAGGGCGCGUAGGUGGUUCUGUAUGUCUACCGUGAAAGCAUACAGCUCAACUGUAUUUGUCGGUAGAAACUGCAGGACUUGAGGCUGGGAGGGGCUGGUGGAAUUCCCUGUGUAGCGGUGAAAUGCGUAGAGAUGGGGAGAACACUCGUGGCGAAGGCGGCCAGCUAGACCAGUUCUGACACUGAGGCGCGACAGCGUGGGAGCAAACAGG
rnacentral:rRNA from 1 species